rnacentral:rRNA from 1 species
UACGUAGGGGGCAAGCGUUGUCCGGAAUCAUUGGGCGUAAAGCGCGUGUAGGCGGUUCGAUAAGUCUGCUGUGAAAGUCCAGGGCUCAACCCUGGAAAGCCGGUGGAUACUGUCGGACUAGAGUGCGGAAGAGGCGAGUGGAACUCCCGGUGUAGCGGUGAAAUGCGCAGAUAUCGGGAGGAACACCGGUGGCGAAGGCGGCGACCUGGGUAGAUACUGACGCUGAGGCGCGAAAGCGUGGGGAGCAAACAGG